GGAUUGUGGUUCAGUGGUGGAGUGCUUGUCUAGCAUGCGUGGGGCACUGGGUUCGAUCCUCAGCACCA
rnacentral:tRNA from 1 species